rnacentral:rRNA from 1 species
GUGUCAGCCGCCGCGGUAAUACGGAGGGGGCUAGCGUUGUUCGGAAUCAUUGGGCGUAAAGGGCGCGUAGGCGGCCGGCCAAGUCGGAUGUGAAAUCCCUCGGCUCAACCGAGGAACUGCACUCGAUACUGGUUGGCUAGAGUCCGGGAGGGGAUGGUGGAAUUCCCAGUGUAGCGGUGAAAUGCGUAGAUAUUGGGAAGAACACCGGUGGCGAAGGCGGCCAUCUGGACCGGAACUGACGCUGAGGCGCGAAAGCCAGGGGAGCGAAUGGGAUUAGAAACCCUCGUAGUCC